GGAUCGACCAGCGCGGAUACAGUGCGCCUCAGCGUUUUCCCACCGAACUGGUGCUGUAGUAUUUUAAAAGCUUGGCUGAACCAGCGUAGCUGGCUGAGGACUACUUGCCAAACCUUGGCAGCACCGUGAACAGAACCACAUGACACAGCGAGUUUGGAGUGCGGCCUGGGGCUUCAUCUGGGGAUUCCUCUUUCGGGGACAGAUGGGAUAGGAAAGAAACCAGACAACAAAUAUUCUCAUAAAUAAACAAUUGUGAAAGUGGCAUUUUAGUGGGGAAGGAAGAAAAGCAGGCCAGAAUGAGCAGCUCACAGCUCGGAUGUGAGGGGAGGCUGCGGUUCAGGGUCGCUGUCAAAAAGAAAGCGGAAGAAACUAAAUUAUAGAGACACCGGAAUGAAAAAUGGUGGGAGUGAAUUAUCACAAACAGAAAUGGUCAUCUGCCCCCCUCCCCCAGAGAUGGAUGACAGCUCUGCCUCCCUCCACCUUUCUGACACCCAGAUAUCAAUCAAUCUGUUUCUUGUGUGGAACGCUGCAGAGAUAUGAAAGGCAGGCAGUGGUGUUUAGAAUAAAUCCUCAGCAAAAUACCCAUGUGACUUUGUGUUUAUGCAUUAGUCUGACAAGUGACCUGCAGCUGAAAUUGCCACUGGGUUCCCUGAACCAUGCCAACCACAUCAUGCCAGCUGUUCUACGCAGGUCAAGAAAAGUAUCAGAAUUUGUUAUCUGUAGUAGAGGGGCAGUAGAUACUGGCCAUGUCAAGGGCCUCCCCAAGACACAAUACCAUGCAUUCUCUGGCAUCAAGCAGGACUUUAAAAGAGUCAACAAUGAAUGUGAUGGAAGUGGCUAUGUAACAUUUUAGUCUAAAUAUCUGACACGUGUCCACAGCUGAGGUUUCUGGGCUCUGCUUUGAACAUUAAUAUUAUACAAAUCAGCUUAAUGGAAUGGAAAGGGGUUUGGAGAGAUGAUGGCCUGUUCAAGCUCUGCUAAAAACAAGAACACUCCCCUUCUGAAAAUUAUACAAAAAACUGAAGAUUCCUGUGCAAUGCUGUAUUGUGAUGCUCUUGGCUAAAGCUAUAAUGUGCAUGACCAUGCCAUAUCCCCAUUUUUCGACUGUAUCUAUGAAAUAGUAUGACUGCUGUGACCAGAGUCAGAUAAUAAAGUUAUUUUGUGAUUAA